GGGUCGUUAGCUCAGCCUGGUAGAGCAGCUGACUUUUAAUCAGCGGGUCAUAGGUUCGAAUCCUAUACGACCCACCA
rnacentral:tRNA from 1 species